ACGUGCCUGGGCGCUCCAGCUCCGUGCGCCUCUGACGCUGAGGCUAUGAUUGGCCUGGCUGAACGCCAAUCAGGGCUCGGCGCCGUGGAGGCGGGACGAACGCCGCGGGCCGAGCCUGCUUAACUCCCUGCCGGGUUAUUCUCUGCCUCUUCUAGGGUAGGCAAACGCCUCCGAGUCCCUUAGGGGGGUCCCCGCGGCGGCCUGAGAUGCACCGCGCCAGGUCGUCGCGCCCUUGCGCUGGCUGAAGUAGGAAUUGGCUCUGGAGAGUCUGCGUUGCUCCUGGUCCCAGGGCCGUGAUCCCGAUACUGCGCUUCCCGUUCCUCCAGUCGCAGCCCCCAGGCUCCGUCUUCUCCUGCGUGGCGCUGGAGAAACACCCGGAAGAGAGAGUCCCAGAAUGACUGCUGUGGCCCUGCGACCUGACUGCCACCUUCCAGGACUCUAGCCCUGGCUCCUUCUAACCUUCCCGCCCCUCAGUGCCCCAGGGAGGCUGCUGUGCCAACAAUUAUUCAUCAGCCGGAAGAAAAGGAGGUGCCAGUGUUAGGCACAGAAGAGGGUUGGACCAGAAAAGCUGGAGAGGGGCAAGAAGGGAAAGAGGGGGAAGAGGGAAGGCGGAAAAAGUGGGGAGGGGUAACAGCUCGAGCUUUUCCUCUAGGAUAGUUUGUCUUCUCUCGGUCCCGCCUCCUCUGCUUCUUGCCUCAGUUCCCCACUCCCACCCGUGCACCUCUGCGGCAGGCGUGUGAAAGAAGUGGGAGGGAGGGGCUUUUGGUCGGGAUAUCUGGUCCUCCAGACCCCACAGCCUUGGCUGAGAACUUACUUAAGCCCACUCCAACUGACUUGAUAAAUGAGAAUCUUGACCAGUCCAUUGGUAGGUAGAAACGAGGGACAUCAUCUGUCCCUGAACAGAAUAACCCGAAAUCGCAGGUCCCAUGGAUGUGGGAAUCCACAGCACUGACUGCGCUCCUAAGGCUCGCUGGAGUGCAGUCGUGCGAUCUCGGCUCACUGCAACCUCCGCCUCCCGGGUUCAAGCGGUUUUCGUGCCUCGGCCUCCCGAGAAGCUGGAUCUACAGGUGCGCACCACCACACCUGGAUAAUUUCUGUAUUUUAAGUAGAGACGGGGUUUCACCAUGUUUGCAUAGCUUGUCUCGAACUGUUGACCUCAAGUUAUCCUCCCGCCUCUGCCUCCUAAAGUGCUGGGAUUACAGGCCUGAGUCUCCUCGCCCGUCUUAUAUGUUGGAUCUUUUCCCAGACCUCCUCCUCAGAUGUGGACCGUACAGAUGAUGCUCCAUCGGUUACUCUGAUCCUGGCUUUGGGACUGCCAGAUAAAACUGGGAGAAACCCUACAUUUACUCUUACUGUAACGUAUUGGCUUGAAACUGCAGCUUCAGGAGAAGGCGAGAACAUUUUUUUCCUUCUUGCUGAGAAUUUUUUCACCAGGGUUUCAAGGCAUAUUCACCAUGAAGACACGAGGAUGAAGACCUUUAUGAUGCUCCACUUCCACUUAAUGAAUAGAACCUUCCACUAAUAUCUGAUCCAGGAAUGCUCAAUUCAUUCAGAAUAAGUAGGAAAAGAAAUGGCACAGUUCCACAUAAAUAUGUCAUAAGAAAAUAAUGUUUACAGAAAGCAGCAAGAUUUCCCUCCAGAAGUAAUGAAGCAGCCUCAGCCAUGAAGAUCAUGGAGCCAAAAGGAAGACCUUCAGCAGAAGCAGUUGCGAGCCAAAGAGGUCCAAGGGCACUGAGGAAGGAGCCAAGUGAAUGUUUUAGGCGUCGGCGUCGCUCCCGCCCUGGAGCUCUAGGCCCGCGUUUCCCCGCGGGCUGUGGGUCAAGCGCCGGCCGCUAAAGGUGCGCGAGGAGCCUCCACCCUUUCUGCGCUGGGCCUGGCGUCGGGGUCGUUGUGUCCUGACAACCACUGACGUACCCAUUUCCGAGGCAGCAGGUGCAGCCGCUUUAGCCCUGAGCCGGCUCCGCGUCUGUCUGCUGGUCUCUGCUAAUGCCGACCCUUCCCUUCGCGGACCCCACGCCAAGCAGCGACCCGGAGCCGACAGCUGGAGCGCCUGGCAGUGGCGGCCUCGACGACCUCGCAACGGCCCGUCAAGGGGAUCCUGAAGGACAAGACCUCUACGACCCCCUCUAUGGUGGCGUCGGCCGAACCGCCCCGCGGGAGUGUCCACGAGGAGCUGAGCAAAAAAUCCCAGAAGUGGGAUGAAAUGAACAUCCUGGCGACAUAUCAUCCAGCAGACGAAGACGAUGGCUUAAUGAAAGUAGAUGAACCAAGCCCUCCUUACCAUAGUAUGAUGGAUGAUGAUGAAGGUGCAUGUAGUGAUACAGAAACCACCGAAGCCAUGGCACCAGAUAUCUUGGCUAAGAAAUUGGCUGCUGCUGAAGACUUGGAGCCAAAGUAUCGGGUUCAGGAACAACAAAGCAGUGGAGAGGAGGAUAGUGACCUCUCAUCUGAAGAACGAGAAAAAAAGCGACAAUUUAAAUGAAAAGGAAGCGCCACUACAAUGAAGGACUCAAUAUCGAACUAGCUGGACAAUUUCAAAAGGCCUACAUGAUGAUGACGGAGAUGAAGAAAUGUUAGAGCCUGCAGGUGGAGAAAGCAUGAAUACGGAAGAAUCAAAUCAAGGAUCUGCUGUAAGUGACCAACAGCAAAACAAAUCACGAAGUUCAUAGAAGAGAUUUGUUCAACACUGCAAUUGUUUGUUAGAUAUGAACCCAGUUGCUAUAAUACAUUGCUUCUUGUUCUCUGCAAAUCAUGACUUAAGUACCAAAAUGCAUACCAGUUAUUAUAUAUUGCCAGUAAUUAAAUGAUAACCUUAGAGACUGAUUAGACCGAAAUGAAAAUGCCUGACAUGUGUGUAUAUAUGUGUGUGUGUGUGUAUAUAUAUAUAUAUACUUGUGCCUAAUACUUUACUACAAAUACAGUGUAAUACCAUCAGUCCGAAACUGUAUUGCUUUUGUAAAAACAUUGGUUAACUUGUAUAUUAUAUAGCUUUUUAUGCUUUAGAGGUUCAACAAUAUCUUUGGGGGGGAACUAAUUUAUUUUCAUCAUUCUAAAUGUGGUGGUAGCUCUUAUAAAGUUUGUUGAUUUUUUUAAAAUCAAAAGCCAAUUGAAUAACAGGAUAUAUAAGUUGAUAAAUCUUCAGGCUGAAUAGUAUUUGAACACUUGUCUUCAACUUGAUUUGUCUGUUUAAUUGAAAGGAUUGUAAGAGUUACUGUUGCAUUUUCUGGCCUACUACCUUUAAAAUUCUUGUUGCGUUUCUUUGUGUUUGCAAGGAAAGGACUGGACUUUUUCUCGUCAAAACUAGCUUUUUUUCUCACAAAUUAUUAGGCUAAACUUGCACUGAUGUCUGCUCUUUUUUUUUUUGUAAUGUUUUUGGUACGCUGGGCAGACUUCAGUUUUUUAAAAAAUAAAUAUUGUAAUGUAGCUAUCUCGGCAUUCCCUUUAAAUACCUGUCUUAACCUCCUGCUUUUAUUUCCUACUCCUUUCCACACAUAUACACACAAUCCUUUACCUUUUAAAGGAUCAUUAAGAUUGUCACACAUUAGGAAGUCUUUCUCUCAUGUCUUUUGCGGCAAUAUUGAAAUUCUUAUUUUGACCAUCAAUGUCUAUUAAUUCUUCUAAUACAUGAAGAAAAUAGGUUGAGUAGCAGCAGUACCCUAUAGGCAGGAAAUACAGUUUAACUGCUGGAUUUCUAUACCUCUCUGAUUUACAGCUUGCUAAUUAAAUUGCUAUUAUUAGUUUGCUUGGCUUAAUUAGACUUAAGAAAACAACUAACUGACGGUUUUUGUUUUUUCAAUUUUUUUUUUUUUUUUUUUUUUGCAUGAGGAGAGAAUUGUAUGUAACCAGUGAUAUGAUUAUUCCUGAAGGUACAGACAGAAGUAAACCUGGGAACACUGUUUAAUUUAAAAACUUCAAUCCCUGCUAUGAGGGAAUACGAUAAUGUAUACUAUGACAAAUGUACUUUAUUCUUCUAACACAGUAAAGAAUUACUUGGGAAUUUUUUCCUGAAACUAAGUGCAGGAAAGCCCUGUGUGUCUUGGUUUCGUGGUGGUUUCAUUUCUAGCCAUACAACUGAUGGAUUGUAUACAAUUUCUGUCAGUGCCAAAAUAAUCUGUUAU